rnacentral:rRNA from 1 species
ACGGAAGGCAGCAGUGGGGGAUAUUGCACAAUGGGGGAAACCCUGAUGCAGCGACGCCGCGUGAGUGAUGAAGUAUUUCGGUAUGUAAAGCUCUAUCAGCAGGGAAGAUGAUGACGGUACCUGACUAAGAAGCACCGGCUAAAUACGUGCCAGCAGCCGCGGUAAUACGUAUGGUGCAAGCGUUAUCCGGAUUUACUGGGUGUAAAGGGAGCGUAGGCGGCUAUGCAAGUCAGGUGUGAAAACCCGGGGCUCAACUCCGGGACUGCACUUGAAACUGCGAAGCUCGAGUACGGGAGAGGCAAGUGGAAUUCCUAGUGUAGCGGUGAAAUGCGUAGAUAUUAGGAAGAACACCAGUGGCGAAGGCGACUUGCUGGACCGCAACUGACGCUGAGGCUCGAAAGCGUGGGGAGCAAACAGGAUUAGAUACCCUGGUA